rnacentral:rRNA from 1 species
AGGACGAACGCUGGCGGCGUGCUUAACACAUGCAAGUCGAGCGGAAAGGCCCUUCGGGGUACUCGAGCGGCGAACGGGUGAGUAACACGUGAGCAACCUGCCCUGGACUUUGGGAUAACCCUCGGAAACGGGGCUAAUACCGAAUAUUCACUACUUGUCGCAUGGUUUGUGGUGGAAAGUUUUCGGUCUGGGAUGGGCUCGCGGCCUAUCAGCUUGUUGGUGGGGUGAUGGCCUACCAAGGCGACGACGGGUAG